UACGAAGGGGGCUAGCGUUGUUCGGAAUUACUGGGCGUAAAGCGCACGUAGGCGGACAUUUAAGUCAGGGGUGAAAUCCCAGAGCUCAACUCUGGAACUGCCUUUGAUACUGGGUGUCUAGAGUAUGGAAGAGGUGAGUGGAAUUCCGAGUGUAGAGGUGAAAUUCGUAGAUAUUCGGAGGAACACCAGCGGCGAAGGCGGCUCACUGGUCCAUUACUGACGCUGAGGUGCGAAAGCGUGGGGAGCAAACAGG
rnacentral:rRNA from 1 species